CCUACGGGAGGCAGCAGUGGGGAAUAUUGCACAAUGGGCGGAAGCCUGAUGCAGCAACGCCGCGUGCGGGAUGACGGCCUUCGGGUUGUAAACCGCUUUCGCCUGUGACGAAGCGUGAGUGACGGUAAUGGGUAAAGAAGCACCGGCUAACUACGUGCCAGCAGCCGCGGU
rnacentral:rRNA from 1 species